rnacentral:rRNA from 1 species
CAGUAGCCGCGGUAAAACGUAGGUGGCAAGCGUUGUCCGGAUUUGUUGGGCGUAAAGCGAGCGCAGGCGGUCAAUUAAGUCUGAUGUGAAAGCCCCCGGUUCAACCGGGGAGGGUCAUUGGAAACUGGUUGACUUGAGUACAGAAGAGGAGAGUGGAAUUCCAUGUGUAGCGGUGAAAUGCGUAGAUAUAUGGAGGAACACCAGUGGCGAAGGCGACUCUCUGGUCUGUAACUGACGCUGAGGCUCGAAAGCGUGGGUAGCAAACAGGAUUAGAUACCCCGGUAGUCCCUGUCUCUUAUAA